ACCAACAAAUUGUUCUUUGUAUGUACUCUGCUCUGUUCCACCAACAAAUUACCAUCCUGCCGCCUUCAAUCAUCCGUCGAUCCCACUAAACUAACGAAGAAAGUUAUAUCCAUUGAACGUUUGGAGGUAUGGUUUAUCAAUCUUCAUUUGUUGGAUUUUAAAAUUUUUGGUGCUUUUCCGUGUGGAUUGAUAAGUGUGUUUCUGCACCCCUAUUUAGAUCACAAACAUGACUUAAUUACGAGCAAAAUGUUUAAAUUGUAAUUUAAUCUUGUUGAAUUCAUGCAAUGUAGGUGUUUCUAUGGAAAUGGUGGAAUUCAGGAGAAAUGAGCCGAAAAAGGACUAAAAUGGAGCAAAGUAAUAGUUCAGGGACUAAGGAUGCAAAUAUUCAUAGUUGAACUAAAAAGCAACCCGAGAAUGCAAAUAUGCUAAGUAUGAACUCGAAUGUGAUACAAGAUGAUUGGAAGAAGAAGGAAUUGCAAAUGGACUGAAAUGAAGAAAAAUGAAAGUUCAAGGACCAAAAUGGACUUUUGCAUAGUUGGUAGCACUAUGCGACCGCACCCUCUAUGCGGUCGUAUAGAGGUAGACCGAGAAUAAUUUCUCAAAAAAUUUUACUCUAUGCGACCGCAUAGAAAUAUAUUAUGCAGUCGUAUAGAGUAGUUCGGAGGUUGAAUCUGCAAUUUCCUUAUUUCGCCGAAACUCUUAUGAAAACAAGAUGUUUGGGGUCCUAUAUAAAUGAAAACUCGACCAGAAUGAAGGGGACACCGUUUUUAGAAGAAAAAGAGAGAUUUUGAAGGAGAAAAUGAAGAGAGAACAAGAGGAAAACAUCCUGCCAAUUAAAGAAUUGAUUGAAACUUGAUUCGGGUGAUGACAUUUCUUCAACUAUUUUUGUAUUUUCUUCUUUUUAGCAUGUUAGGCUAGAUUUUUCAUGUACUAGGAGAUUGAUGAACCUUGCAAUACUAUUUUUGAUUUUUGAUUUGGAGAUUUGACAUAUUUAAGCACAUGUUCUGAAAUUGAAUGAUUUAUACGUUUUUAUUUUCAUAUUAUUAUUGUGCACGUACUUAUAUGAUUUUGGUGGCCUGUUUUAUGCAUUUGAAAGAAGGAAAAUAGGCUCGACAUGAUAUAAAUCAUCAUAGGUUUCGAUAAGGGAUAGAAAUAUACCUCUAUGCCUCGUGUGAAUUGUUGAAUAUUCAUGAAAUUACAUGCAUUCCUGCAUGUUAGUAUUUCUUAUAGAGAUAUAGUCGAAUCACAUACGGGUGUUGCUUGGGAAUUCAUGAUCCUAGUGCGUUAAUAAUUCAUUAAUUCCGUAAAUUAUCGUAGAUUACAUCCAGGUCAUUUUGUAUUUAGCAUAAGUUUCUCACUCAUAUUUGUAUCAUAGUUCACAUCUUCAUUAGUUAAAUCACAAUACAUAUAUCUUACUUUCGUCUUUCGGUUAAGGUCAUAAUAGGUUGAUUUAAACUAAUUCAAUCCUUAUGGGAUCGAUACUUGGACUCAUAAUCCAUUCUACUACUUGUUAACGAACCGUACACUUGUGGUGAGUUUUAAAUAAAUAAUAAUAAUUUUGUGAACAAGUUUUUGGCGCCGUUGCCAGAGAUUGAAAUUUAGUUUAAUUUUUUUUUGUGACAUUAAUUCAAACUUACUUUGAUUAGUAGUAGUUAGCUUACUAGACUAAGUUUAUUGUUUAUUUUAAUUUAAUUUUGUGCUAUUUUUACUAUCUCAGGGCUUGUAUGCAAAGAGCACCUGAUCGAGAUUUGGUUCCCAUUGAUCCAGAGAUCGAACGCACAUUUCAUCACAGGCAAAGAGAAGUAAGAGCAACACAACAAAUUCAAAAAGACCAAAAAUAGCAACAACAGAUGGCUAACAAGUAAAAUCGUCCAGUAAUUCAACUCAACGAAGGCAUGGGGGUUGAAGAUGAAGGGAAUAUGGUACCUGGGGAUUUCAUGGUACCGUUGGUUUUCCAGAGUCAAUCUAGCAUUGUGUAUCCUCCAUUUGGACAAUCGAACUUCCAGCUAAAAACAAAUGUAAUUCAACUAUUUCAGAAGGGGCAUCAAUACCACGGGAUGGCUAAUGAGAAUCCACAUACACACAUAUCCCAAUUUCUAGACAUGUGCCAACACUUUAGUUACCAGGGUAUCUCAGAUGAUGCUAUAAGACUUUGAUUGUUUCCACACACAUUGUAGGAUAAAGCACUUGAAUGGCUGGAUUCACUUCCCGUCGCAAGUAUUACCACUUGGAACGAGCUAGCCCACAAAUUCUGCACCAAGUUCUUCUCACCAGCUAAGGUAGCGAAAAUGCAGCAUGAUAUAUCUAUAUUCAACCAAGGCAAGUCCGAAUCAUUUGAAGAGGCCUGGAAUCACUUCAAAAAUAUGUUAAGGAAGUGUCCUCAGCAUGGCUUUGAUAAAAAGACACAAAUUUGAUUUUUCUACACUGGAUUACUUCCAUCCUUCAAGAGCAUGGUGGAUUCAUCAUCCGACGGGUCAAUCUCCAUGAGAACAAUUGACGAAGCAUGGGAACUAUUUGAGAGAAUGGCUACGACUUCAGUCAUGUGGUCUACAGAUCGAGUGGUUUAGAAGAGAACACCGAGGUGGGUUUAUGAAGUAGAUACUUACUCAACAUUAUCCGCAAAGAUAGACUCCUUGUUCCAUAAGGUUGAGAGCAUUUCACAGACUACCAAUGCAAAACAAGUCAAGAAGCCAAGUUGUGAAGAAUUUGGAGCAGACCACAAUACUGCCAAUUGUCCAAUUCUCACACAGGGGAUCGAACAUGCAGAUUUUGGGCAUUGGGGUCAACGCCAAUAGAACAAUCCACAUUUGAAAACCUUCAAUCAGGGCUGGAGAAAACACCCAAACUUCUCGUGGAGUAACCAGAAUCAAAACAGACCACAAGGUCAUUUUCAGCAACAGGAUAAAAAGCCACCAUUAGAAGCAAUGUUUGAGAAGUUCAUGGCAACGACUAAUUAGUACAUGGAGGCCAACAACCAGUUUAUGCGAAAGAUAGAUACAACUUUCCAAGAUCAAAGUGCUGCAAUAAAAAAUUUGGAGACGCAAAUGGGACAGAUGGAAAUCUCCAUGACAGGUAGAGCACUAGAGAACCUACCCAACAACACUGAAAUCAAUCCUAAGGAGCACGCAAAAGCUAUAAUAACCAGAAGUGGAGUACAACUACCAGAGAUACAUGUAAAAAGAUCGAUAGCUAGCAAAGAAUUAAUGCCAACCUCAGAUGACGAGAUUGUGGAACAGAUUGAACAAACAACAGAGGAUGUUGCCAAGAAGAGUUCCAAUACAUCAUGGGUUACAGCUACCAAUUCUAUCAACCCUCAUGAGCCACCUAUUCCAUUUCCGCAGAGGUUGAAAAAGUACAAAUUGGAUUAGUAAUAUAGUAAAUUUCUUGAAGUCUUCAAGAAACUGCACAUCAACAUCCCAUUUGCUGAGGCACUUGUUCAGAUGCCAAAUUAUGCAAAAUUCCUAAAGGAUAUCCUCUCUAACAAGUGAAAGAUAGAAGAAAAUGAAACAGUGAUGCUAACUGAGGAAUGCAGUGCCAGAAUCCGAAAAAAGCUACCUCCAAAACUAAAGGAUCCAGAGAGUUUUACUGUAUCUUGCACUAUUGAAAAUUGUCAUUUUGAUAAAGCUUUGUGUGAUUUAGGUGCAAGUAUUAAUUUGAUCCCUCUAUCUAUUUUCAGGAAACUCAGCUUGGGAGAAGCUAAAGCCAUAACAGUGGCCGUAUAGUUAGCAGAUCGAUCCCUUACACAUCCAAGAGGGAUCAUCGAAGACGUGUUGGUAAAAGUAGAAAAGUUUAUAUUUCUAGCAGAUUUUCUCAUUUUAGACAUAGAGGAAGAUAAGGAUAUUCCACUCAUAUUAGGGCAACCUUUCUUAGCUACUAGAAGAGCGAUUGUCGAUGUUCAGAAAGGACAGCUUAUAUUGAGGCUUGACGAAGAACAGAUCUCUUCCAAUGUAUUCAAGGCAAUGAAGUUUUUCACUGAGCCAGACAGCUGCUUUCAGAUUGAGGUAAUUGACAGAAUAAUUCAAGAUACAUUUCAGCUAUAUCAUCUUUUCGAUGCAUACGAGGCAUGCAUUGCACAUUCUCAAUACACUCACACUAAUUCAAGUGAGAUUGAAACAUGUGCAUGGUUUUUGGAAACUAAUCCACCAUACAUGUGCAAGCGUUACUUUGAAGAGUUGGGAACUAGGACUACAAAGUCAAAGCCAUCUAUUCAACAACCUCCCAAGUUGGAACUCAAACAAUUGUCAUCACACCUCCGAUAUGCUUACUUGGGGGAGUCUUCUACACUCCUGAUUAUUAUUUCAAAUACUAUCAGUGAAGUGGAGGAAGAGAGACUACUUUGGGUGCUGAGGGAGAAUAAAACAGCCAUUGGAUGGUCAAUUGUAGAUAUCAAGGGGAUCAGCCCGUCGCUAUACAUGCACAAAAUACUCAUGGAAGAAAAUUUCAAGCCAAGCAUUGAUGGUCAGUGGGGAUUGAAUCCAAACAAGAAGGAAGUGGUUAGGGCUGAGGUCUUAAAGUUGCUCGAUGCAGCCAUCAUCUACCCAAUAUUAGAUAGUGCAUGGAUCAAUCCAGUGCAGGUUGUUCCAAAUAAGGGAGGUAUCAAAGUUGUGCAGAACGAGAAAAAUGAGUUGAUUCCAACAAGAAAAAUGAGUUACCGCAAACUAAAUGCUGCUACUCAAAAGGAUCAUUUUCCACUACCAUUCAUUGAUUAGAUGUUGGAGAGACUAGCAGGGUACUCACAUUACUGUUUUCUGGAUGGGUACUCUGGGUAUAAUUAGAUUCCAGUAACACCUGAUGAUCAAGAGAAGACAACUUUCACAUGCCCCUACGGUACCUUUGCAUACCGUAGGUACCCUUUGGUUUGUGCAACUCCCCUGCCACCUUUCAGCGUUGCAUGAUGGCUAUCUUUUUUGAAAUGAUUGAGAAAUUCAUUGAGGUAUUUAUGGAUGACUUCUCAGUAUUUGGGUCUUCGUUUGAUGAGUGUUUGGAGCAUCUGAGUCUUGUGUUACAGCAGUGUACAGAGACCAACUUGGUAUUGAAUUGGGAGAAAUGUCACUUUAUGGUACAGGAGGGCAUCGUAUUAGGACAUAGAAUAUCAGCAAAGGGUAUUGACGUGGACAGAGCAAAGAUUUAGGUGAUCGAGAAAUUACUGCCACCAACAUCAGUGAAAGGUGUUCGUAGCUUCCUUCGGCAUGCCGGGUUCUACAGAAGGUUCAUAAAGGAUUUCUCAAAAAUUACUAAAUCACUAUGUUGUUCGUUGAUGAAGGAAUCCACAUUUGAGUUCACAGAUGAGUGUUUGAUGGCUUUUAAUACCUUGAAAGAGAAGUUGAUUUCAGCACUCGUGAUCAUCACACCGGAUUGGAACCUGUCAUUUGAAUUAAUGUGCCACACCAGUGAUUUUGCUGUUGGGGCCGUAUUGGGACAACUGAGAAAUAAGAUAUUUCACGUAAUCUACUAUGCAAGUAAGACCUUGAACGACGCUCAAUUAAACUAUGCCACUACAGAGAAAGAGCUCCUUGUCGUAGUCUACGCCUUUAACAAAUUUCGAUCAUAUCUUAUGGGGUCAAAGGUCAUCGUUACACAGAUCACGCAGCCAUCAAGUACUUAAUGGAAAAAAAGGAUGCCAAGCCACGUCUCAUUCGUUGGAUACUGCUGCUUCAAGAGUUUGAUCUGGAAAUCAGGGAUAAGAAGGAUAGUGAAAAUAUGGUAGCAGACCACUUGUCUCGACUCGAGACCACAGAGCAGGCAGAGACCGUGGAAAUUAGUGAAGUCUUUCCAGAUGAACAGAUUUUCGAUGUGGGAGAGGCACCCUGGUAUGCUGACAUAGUUAACUACUUAGUCAUGUCUAUCAUUCCGCCAGAUUACUCAAAUCACCAGAAGAAGAAAUUUUUCGCUGAGUUGAAGUAUUAUUUUUGGGAGGAUCCUAUUCUAUACAGGCGAGGAGCUGAUCAAAUCAUUCGUCGUUGCGUACUUGAGGAAGAAGUGCUCUUAAUACUAGAACAUUGUCAUUCAUCUACAUACGCAGGGCAUUUUGGUACAUCAAAACAGCGACGAAGAUCCUUUAGUCAGGUUUUUACUGGCCUAUGUUGUUUAAGGAUACCUUUGAAUUCAUGAACAAAUGUGACCGAUGUUAACCCACCGGUAAUAUAUCCAGGAGAAACGAAAUGCAUUUGAAUAGUAUCCUGGAGGUGGAACUAUUCGACGUAUGGGGAAUCGACUUCAUCGGGCCAUUUCUCCCAUCAUUCUCUAAUCAGUACAAAUUAGUUGUUGUGGAUUACGUAUCGAAGUGGGUAGAAGCCGUUGCAUUGCCUACCAACGAUGGGAAGGUGGUGAUUGAUUUUCUAAAGAAAAAUAUUUUCACCCGCUUUAGCACACCGAGAGCUAUAAUAAGUGACGGGGGCAAACAUUUCUACAAUCGCCAAUUUGAAUAGUUGUUGACUAAAUAUGGCGUUAAACAUCGUGUAGCCACUGCAUAUCAUCCUCAAACCAGCGGACAGGUUGAAGUAUCCAAUAAACAAUUAAAGAAAAUACUUGAAGUCACAGUAAGCUCUUCACGAAAAGAUUAGUCUAAGAAUCUGGAGGAUGCCUUGUGGGCCUAUAGGACUGUAUUCAAGAUGCCUAUAGGGAUGUCACCAUAUUGACUGAUUUUCGGGAAGGCAUGCCACUUACCUCUUGAGAUAGAACACCAAACUUAUUGGGCAAUGAUGAAAUUGAAUUUAGACUUGAAGGCUGCGGGUGAAAAAUGUCUAUUACAACUUAAUGAGCUGGAUGAGCUAAGAAUGGAGGCUUACGAAAAUUCAAGACUCUACAAAUAACGCACCAAGAAGUUUAAGCACUAUUGAAGCGGCAAUUUCUCAAAGCAAAAGUCUACCGUUCAUCUUAAACCACUAGAAUGACACAAUACGGUAAAGUCGAGCUAUCGACUAUAACUAGCGCUGGGUGAGAGGCAACCCACUGUAUCAUUCGAUUCAUAUUACUUUUCACAUUAUUUUAGGAGUUGUUUAAUUUUCGCAUUUGCCUUUUUUUUAGGUCAUCGAUCUUUCACGUAUAAUAGUUUAAGCAUUACACAUGUAAGGUGGCAUGAGUCAAGUUGAUUGAAGUUGUUUUGGGGGAUUGAGUGUGAAGUCAUGCAUUUCGAUGCACAAAGUCAUUCUUCAUAAAAAUUUUCGGAAUGCGUUUCAAGUUUUUCCAUAAAUUGGUCUUGGUACGAAGUCUUUCGACAAGCACAUAUCCCAUUGAAUUGGAAGUUUCUAAAUUUUCGGGAAUGAUAUUAGCCGAGUCAAAUUUUUAAUUGAAAACCAAUUUCGGGGGAAAAUUUUAAUUAAGUUGUGUUUUGGGGGUUAAAAUUGUAAUUUUGAUAUUUUUUUUCCAUAAUUCAGAUUUAAAAAAAAAAUUGUCUAUACGACCGCAUAGAUACCAACUGAAACAAAAAAUGGGGCAAAUUAGACCACUAUGCGACCGCAUAGGAUAUAACUAUGCAGCCGCAUAGUAGUGAUCCGGUCAUGGACUUAAGCCAUGAACGUCUCACUCUAAAUCAUUUCCCCCCCCAUUCCCCUCUCACAUUUCUCCCUCGAACCCUAGGUCCAAAAAUUUCCCUCUUACACACACACCCAAAGACAUUCCUAUAUCCUCCUUCAUUUCUUCAAUCAUCCACGUAUUCAUCACGAAAAAGGCCCAAGGUGUUCAAGGUAUGAGCUUUAUUUCUUCUCCUCACUUUGAUUUUUGUUUGUAGUUACUCACAAUUUACGAUUGGAAAUUGAGUUGAAAGAGUGUAAGUAGGCUUGGUUUAUGACAUUGCUUUGUGUUUAUGCAUUGUGGGUGCUUACAUUUUGCCAAUUAUUAAUAGAAUGGAGAUAAAGAUAUUGCACACAACCUAUUCGAUGAAAUGCCUAAAUGACGAGCUUUAUGCAAUUUCGAAUUUUUUGCUUUGAUUAUGAAGUGUAAUUGAUGUGUAUAGCAAUUGGAUAAAGACAGAUCACUUGAAAAGGCCAUGAAAAACAUAAAACCCCAUCUUGCAUGACGUAGGCACUACAUAGUCAAGUCACGGCACCCUCCGUCUCCUACUUACACUGUAAUUUGACUCACCAAAUGAAGUCAAAUUGCUUUGAAAUUUGAGUAUAUGCUAGGCCUCAUUGAAUACUUUCAUAUACCUAGAGAUUGUUCAGGAAAAUUUCGAUAUUUUUCGAUGAUGUCCGGGGUUGAGCGCACUUGGUCAUGGGUCCAAUUUUUCAAAUGUGCAUGUUUAGGCCUAGUUUUCUUAGUUUUUCAUAUUGGUACACUAACACUAUCUUGAAUAUCAUGUUUUGAAGAUUGCAUACUAAUGUGCUAUAUAUGCAUGUUGAAGCAAGUUUGAGAGAUUUGUGAAAUACAUACCUUGCUAAUCUCCUUUCCUCUCUAGUUUUUCAACAAGAAGUUUAAUGAAUGUUAUUUUUGCACUUUUGCAGGAUGCCUCCAAAAAGAACAUCAAAAGGAAAAGAGAAGGUUGGUUCCGCAUCUGGCACAGCCCAGACUAGAGAGCCCGAAGGGGGUGUCAGGAGAUUUCUAUCCUCAGACACAGUAGCCCGUUACACCAAUGUUGUAUGCGAGUGGACACUCAUCCUCGAAAGGCCGGUUUAGUUGGAAGAUUUCCCCGAUUUUGAUUUAGUUUAUUUAAUCCACAACUGUGGUUGAGAGAAAGUAAUUGAAAGACCGCAUCCAGUGUAUGAAAAUCUGGUAAAUGAGUUCUAUGCCAACUUCAAUACAAAAAUCGACAUGCCUGGAUCAGAUCAUCCACAUCAAACAUGGGUUCGGGGUAAAUGGAUUAUGUUUUCACCAGAAGUGAUUCAUGACUACUAUUAGCUAACUUGUAAUAAUGUGGUCUCGAUCCCACAUAAUUUCAACUGGAUUGAGAUUGCAGAAGUAUUACUGGGAUGUGAGAAUGUUUGGCCUCUACCUACUGCAGAUUGGUAUCAGGUUGAUCUCACCCCAUCUAUAGCUAUCCUAUGGUUAUUCAUAUGCCACAACAUCGAGCCCAUAUCCCAUAGGACGACAUUUACAAAUCAAAAGGUGGGGUUUAUCUAUCAUUUGGCUCGGGGAAACAAGAUUUACUUGGCCACAUACAUCUACAACCAGAUACACAUUAUAGGCACAUGGGGAGACAGGCACACCUCGCUGAUUUUCCCAAGUUUGAUAAGUGGGAUAUUUAGAGUUGCAGGCAUACAAGUCCAGCCUGGGGAAGCACCGAAAAAAUCAAGUCGCUAUAUCAAGCGCCUCACACUAGAGGCACAGGAUCGAGCCAGAGUUACACAUCAACAGAAGUUAGAAAAUGAGCGACGCCGACAGCAACAGGCUGAGGAAGGACAAGCAGUUGAGGACUUCGAAAUGCUACAAGUUUCUCCACCAUCGGUUGAAAUUGACACCCAGUUAUUGAGGCAGAUGUUUGCCACUAUGAUAGGACACAGUCGAGACAUGAAGACUCUUCAGCAAUCAUUUGGAGCAAUGAGUACCACCAUCCAGCAGGUACAGAAUGAUAUGGCAAUCACAAGAAACUUCGCAUCCAAUGCCAGCAGUGAUUCCCUUGCAACAAGAAGAGAAAUGAGUACCUUUGAUGGGCGAUUGGGAAUGUAGAUUGGCAAGAUGGAUGUAUACAGUGGCGAGUGAAUGAGACAUGGGACCGUUUAGGGAACUUGGAGACAGGAUUCAGGCCAUGCAGAUGGAGCAGAGCCAGCAGUCUGACAUAUUGAGAGAGAUUUUAUCCCGCCUUCCUCUCCCUCCUGGAGAUGAUGCUGUAGGACCCAGCCUUCCAUCACAGCCACCUUAUUGAUCAGGAGAGUCUUGUAUACCUCAUUUUGCUAUUUUGUGUUCUUGUUUUUCUUUUUCAAUUAUGUCAUUUCAACUUUAAUUCUUACAUUGAGGACAAUGUACUAUAUAAGUUUGGGUGAUGGUGGCAUAAUUUAAAACAAAUUGUCGGCAUGUAAUUAUUUUGCAUUUUCAUAGCCCAUCGUUAUUAUUGACUAAUUGUUGCAUGAUGCAUGCUUGAUGAGUGAGUGUUAAUUAUACUUUGGCAUGCUUGUGUGGGCUUGAUAGCCUUGUCGGCUAUGAUGUGAUUAUUGGAUUGGUAUAAUUCAUAAACUCUGAAUAUAGAGCUGAAUAGAUUAACCAAUACUUGUGAUGCAAUACUUGACAUUAUCUAUGCAAGCUGUUCAUGCUUGACAUUUUAGGUGAAUGACUGAAUUUUGAUCAUAAAGUAGGAAAAGAAUGAUAACCCUCUAUUGAAUUAACACGUGAAUCCCAUUAAGACAAUUUGGAAUUGGUUGAACUAUUAUGGGGAGCAUUGAGAUUAGCGGGGGCUCCGUGCAUUAAAUUUUAUUGUGUGGAUUGCCUAGACCAGUGAGGUGAAGAUUAGGUGAAAAUCUUAAAUUGAGGGUUGGUUUUGGAAACUGAAUGUCUAGAACAAUAAGGGCAUAAAAAUUAAUAUCUAAGAAUAAAACACUUCUUUUCAUGCCUUUAUGACUUGAGCAAGUAAGCCUGGAAGGAUAUUUCAAAAUCUGGUACCCUAAAGUCAACUGGCCUGGGAGUCACCGGCCUAAAGCUCGCUAAAGGGGUCAUAUAAAAAGCAAGAGGGAAAGAGGAUAAUAAAAAGUCAUCUGAUCAAGCCUUUAUAACCCGAGUAAAUAAGCGUGCAAGGAUUUAAAACCUAGUGCCCUAAAGCCAACUGGUUUGGGAGUCACCGGCCUAAAACUCGUUACAUGAGUUAUAUAGAAAGUAAAUAAGAAGAUGAUAUAUAUAUAUAUAUAUAUAUAUAUAUAUAUAUAUAUAUAUAUAUAUAUAUAGAAAAACAUAAAGAAAAGCCCUUAGACAUUUGGUUGAGAAAACUAUACCUUUGAGGCGAGGCAGGUAACCUAUUUUAAUCUUGAGCGUCGAAGCAAUCAAACUUGGGAGAGCCUUUACUUGUUGAAAUGUAAAAUUGUGAUACUGAGAUUAAUCCAAACUAUGAGAGGGUGAUGUCUAUAGCUGUAAACUCCUAAUUUUGAAACACAAUCCCAGGAUAAUUGAAUGAAAAAAAUAAGUUUGGGGGGUUGUGUAUCUCUCGAGCGAGUAAGGAUACAUUCGACCACUUGGGGUCAGGACUCAACCCAUCCUGAAUUUGAUAUGUUGGAGUGAAUUCACACACACACGUCAAGCAUGCAUUUAACAGGUAAAGGUUGAUGUCAUUUUGCACUGAUAAAUUUUCAUAAAGUCAAAUACUUAGUCCAAUCCUGGGCCACGACAGGGUAUUAAGUCAUGUUUGUUUAAAAUUAAGUCACUAUUUUGUUUGAGGACAAACAAUAGUUCAAGUUUGGAGGGUUUGGUUUGUACACUUAUUUAGAUCACAAACAUGACUUAAUUAUGAGCAAAAUGUUAAAUUGUGACUUAAUCUCGUUUAAUUCAUGCAAUGUAGGUGUUUCUAUGGAAAUGGUGGAAUUCAGAAGAAAAGAAUCAAAAAAGGACUAAAAUGGAGCAAAGGGAUAGUUCAGGGACUAAGGAUGCAAAUAUUCAAAGUUGAACUAAAAAGCAACCCGGGAAUGCAAAUAUGCUAAGUAUGCACUCGAAUGCGAUACAAGAUGAUUGGAAGAAGAAGGAAUUGCAAAGGGACUGAAAUGAAGAAGAAUGAAAGUUCAAGGACCAAAAUGGACUUUUGCAUAAUUGGUAGCACUAUGCGGUCUAUGUGGUCGUAUAGAGGCAGACUGAGAAUAAUUUUUCAAAAUUUUUAAUCUAUGCGACCGCAUAGAAAUAUACUAUGCGGUCGCAUAGAGUAGUUCGGAGGCCGAAUCUACAGUUUCCUUAUUUCGUCGAAACUCUUAUGGAAACAAGAUUUUUGGGGUCCUAUAUAAAUAAAAACUCGACCAGAAUGAAGGGGAUGCCAUUUUUAGAAGAAAAAGAGAGAUUUUGAAGGAGAAAACGAAAAGAGAACAAGAGGAAAACAUCUCGCCAAUUGAAGAAUUGAUUGAAACUUGAUUCAAGUGAUGAAGUUUCUUCAACUAUUUUUGUAUAUUCUUCUUUUCAGCAUGUUAGGCUAGAUUUUUCAUGUACUAGGAGAUCGAUGAACCUUGCAAUACUAUUUUUGAUUUUUGAUUUGGAGAUUUGACAUAUUUAAGCACAUGUUCUGAAAUUGAAUGAUUUAUACAUUUUUAUUUUCAUAUUAUUAUUGUGCACGUAAUUAUAUGAUUUUGGUGGCCUGUUUUAUGCAUUUGAAAGAAGGAAAAUAGGCUUGACAUGAUAUAAAUCAUCAUAGGUUUCGAUAAGGGAUAGAAAUAUACCUCUUUGCCUCGUGUGAAUUGUUGAAUAUUCAUGAAAUUACAUGCAUUCCUGUAUGUUAGUAUUCGUCAUAGAGAUAUAGUCGAAUCACAUAUUGGGGUAGGUUUGGCAUUGCUUGAGACAGAUUACUAAAUUAAGAUAGGAAUAUUGAUUCAUCAAUUGUCGGAAUGUGUGUCAAAUUUGCAUAAUUAAAAGUUGAACGGGUGUUGCUUAGAAAUUCGUGAUCCUAGUGCAUUAGUAAUUCAUUAAUUUCGUAAAUUAUCAUUGAUUGCAUCCAGGUCAUUUUGUAUUUAGUAUAAGUUUCUCACUCAUAUUUGCAUCAUAGUUCACAUCAUCCUUAGUUAAAUCAUAAUACAUACAUCUUACUUUCGUGUUUCGGUUAAGGUCAUAAUAGGUUGAUUUAAACUAAUUCAAUCCUUGUGGGAUCGAUACUUGGACUCAUAAUCCAUUCUACUACUUGUUAACGAACCGUACACUUGCGGUGGAUUUUAAAUCGAAAGAAAUAAUUUUGUGAACAUGGAUUCUGCUGUGGGUUUGAGUUUUGACUUGUGUUUUCAGGAACGUCGCCACCAAUCAUUUGACUUGCGUUUUAAAAGAUGUGUGAUUUCUAUCUUCAAAAAGAUCUCUAUUUGUGGGUGAUUGCGUUCUAUCAGAAUUAGAUGAAUAACUUUUUCUCAAAUGGUUUUCUCUGGAAUGCACAAGUUUACUUGCAUGUGUUUUUGAAAUAAUCUUCAAACAUUCAAGAAUCAAGAAACCUCUCUGUGACAAAACCUCAUAUUCAAUUCCAUGAGUAUGGCAACGAUUCAAGCAUAUAGGAAUCAUUUUUUUUAUAUUGCUUAAACAAUACUGGUUUGCUUAAACUCCGGAGUUUGUCAUGGUUGCAGGGGUUGUGGACACUUCUUUGGCUAAACCAGUGGUGCACACAGAAGUUGACGAAAUGUCUCGAACUUUCAAAUCUCAAGUGUGGCUUAAUAACGAUGAAGAACUGCUAAUCUCUAUGAACGUGAACGUGACCGUCCACAGUGGAAAAUCAGCUACUGAAUGAGAAACGUAGGGGAAGGACACGACUUACUAUACUCGAAUAAUUCUAUCUUUUUUGUUGAUGUUGAUAUAGUUUGAGAAGUAGGUGGAUGUUGUAAUUCUCACUUUGAUGUAAUUGAACAUGCGUUAUUUUUGUUGGUAUGCCAAUG
rnacentral:lncRNA from 1 species